AUUGAACGCUGGCGGCAGGCCUAACACAUGCAAGUCGAGCGGAUGAAGGGAGCUUGCUCCUGGAUUCAGCGGCGGACGGGUGAGUAAUGCCUAGGAAUCUGCGUGGUAGUGGGGGAUAACGUCCGGAAACGGGCGCUAAUACCGCAUACGUCCUGAGGGAGAAAGUGGGGGAUCUUCGGACCUCACGCUAUCAGAUGAGCCUAGGUCGGAUUAGCUAGUUGGUGGGGUAAAGGCCUACCAAGGCGACAAUCCGUAACUGGUCUGAGAGGAUGAUCAGUCACACUGGAACUGAGACACGGUCCAGACUCCUACGGGAGGCAGCAGUGGGGAAUAUUGGACAAUGGGCGAAAGCCUGAUCCAGCCAUGCCGCGUGUGUGAAGAAGGUCUUCGGAUUGUAAAGCACUUUAAGUUGGGAGGAAGGGCAGUAAGUUAAUACCUUGCUGUUUUGACGUUACCAACAGAAUAAGCACCGGCUAACUUCGUG
rnacentral:rRNA from 1 species